AGGCCAUAAGUGCUUAGGUUAAAGGACAUGAGUGCUUAGGGUAAAGGCCAUAAGUGCUUAGGGUAAAGGACAUGAGUGCUUAGGGUAAAGGACAUAAGUGCUUAGGGUAAAGGACAUAAGUGCUUAGGGUAAAGGACAUAAGUGCUUAGGGUAAAGGACAUAAGUGCUUAGGUUAAAGGACAUAAGUGCUUAGGGUAAAGGACAUAAGUGCUUAGGUUAAAGGCCAUAAGUGCUUAGGGUAAAGGACAUAAGUGCUUAGGUUAAAGGACAUAAGUGCUUAGGUUAAAGGACAUAAGUGCUUAGGGUAA
ensembl:lncRNA